GGAGAAGUACCGAAGUGGUCGUAACGGGGCGCACUCGAAAUGCGUUUGGGGGCAACCUCACGCGGGUUCGAAUCCCGCCUUCUCCG
rnacentral:tRNA from 1 species